GGUCUCUUACUGCAAUCAAAAACAAAUCAAUUACUCAAAUGAAUUAAACCUAGGGAUCUG
rfam:Dictyostelium fasciculatum unplaced genomic scaffold Scf_ET5ZYIE01DZOHE-5, whole genome shotgun sequence.